AUGCAUGCAGAGACAGGUGAGAUGGAAGGUUUCGAGUUCUUCCAGAUCGUACUUGACAACUCCUCGAGCAGGCUGAGGCUGCCUGACAAGUUUACCAUGGUGCUACUAGACGGCGGCAAGCCCCAGGAAGUGAAGCUGCGGGAGGCCGGCCAUGGGCGUCGCUUCUGGGACGUGAAGGUGGUGUUGGACGCCGACGGCCACAUGUACCUAGAGCGCGGCUGGGAGCAGUUCGCCCGUGCGCACGACCUGCGGCUCGGGUACUUCCUCGUGUUCAGCUACGACGGCGACGCCGUGCUCACCGUCAAGGUGUUCGACGUGAGCAUGUGCCGCAGGCACUACAAGCACGACGGUGACACCAGCAGUGAGAGCAGCAGCGACGGUGACAGUGGGAGCAGCAACACCAGCGACGGCGGCAGUGGUGGCAACAACAGGAGCCUGGUGGAGAUGGACGUCGAGGAUGGGCCGACGGGGCAGUUCAGCGCCAUGCUGAGGAAAUGCAACCUAGGCAUGAAGCAGGAACAGUACCUGAACGUGCCGGUGGAUUUCCAGCUCGCGCACGGGUACGCCGAGAGGAGCAAGGUGGAGCUGCGGAUGCGCGGCAAGUCGUGGCUCGUGCACCUGAAGCACAACCCCAAGACGGGUGGCAGGUCCCGCGCGUCGUUUAGGUACGGGUGGCACCAGUUCUGCGUCGACAACGCCCUCGGCGAGGGCGACACCUGCUUCUUCCGAGCGCUCCGGCAAGGCAGCGCCGGCGGCGGCGGCGAGGACCACCUACUCAAGGUGGAGGUGAGGAGGCGAGACGGCAGCUUCCUGGUCUGA
rnacentral:rRNA from 1 species